rfam:Brachypodium distachyon strain Bd21 chromosome 3, whole genome shotgun sequence.
AAUGUACUCCUUCCGUCCAACAAAAGAUGUCUCAAGUUUGUCAAAAUUUGGAUGUAUCUAAACAUGACUUAGUGUAUAAAUGCAUUCAAAUUUAGUCAAAGUGGAGACAUCCGUUGUUGGACGGAGAAAUAUAGA